UACAGAGGGGGCAAGCGUUGUUCGGAAUUACUGGGCGUAAAGGGCGCGUAGGCGGCCUUCUAAGUCGAACGUGAAAUCCCCGGGCUCAACCCGGGAACUGCGUCCGAGACUGGAAGGCUCGAAUCCGGGAGAGGGAUGUGGAAUUCCAGGUGUAGCGGUGAAAUGCGUAGAUAUCUGGAGGAACACCGGUGGCGAAGGCGGCAUCCUGGACCGGCAUUGACGCUGAGGAGCGAAAGCCAGGGGAGCAAAGCGGG
rnacentral:rRNA from 1 species